GACGAACGCUGGCGGCGUGCUUAACACAUGCAAGUCGAACGGAAAGGCCCUGCUUGCAGGGUACUCGAGUGGCGAACGGGUGAGUAACACGUGGGUGAUCUGCCCUGCACUUCGGGAUAAGCCUGGGAAACUGGGUCUAAUACCGGAUAGGAGCCAUUUUUAGUGUGAUGGUUGGAAAGUUUUUUCGGUGUAGGAUGAGCUCGCGGCCUAUCAGCUUGUUGGUGGGGUAAUGGCCUACCAAGGCGGCGACGGGUAGCCGGCCUGAGAGGGUGGACGGCCACAUUGGGACUGAGAUACGGCCCAGACUCCUACGGGAGGCCGCAGUGGGGAAUAUUGCACAAUGGGCGCCAGCCUGAUGCAGCGACGCCGCGUGGGGGAUGACGGCCUUCGGGUUGUAAACUCCUUUCGCUAGGGACGAAGCUUUUUGUGACGGUACCUAGAUAAGAAGCACCGGCUAACUACGUG
rnacentral:rRNA from 1 species